CCUACGAGAGGCUGCAGUGAGGAAUAUUGGUCAAUGGGCUUACGCCUGAACCAGCCAAGUCGCGUGAGGGAAGACUGCCCUAUGGGUUGUAAACUUCUUUUGUGAGGGAGUAAAUGGCGCUACGUGUAACGUUAUCUAGAGUACCCGAAGAAAAGGCAUCGGUUAUCCCCGUGCAAGCAGCCGGGGUAAUACGAAGGAUCGGAGGGUUAUCCGGAUGUAUUGGGUUUAAAGGUUGCGUAGCCGGAGUGUAAAGUGAGCGGUAAAAGCGCGGGGGCCACCCUCGCUCCGCCGUUGAAACUGGCGUUCUUGAGUGGGCGAGAAGUAUGCGGAAUGCGUGGUGUAGCGGUGAAAUGCAUAGAUAUCACGCAGAACUCCGAUUGCGAAGGCAGCAUACCGGCGCCCAACUGACGCUGAAGCACGAAGGCGUGGGUAUCGAACAGGAUUAGAUACCCCUGUAGUC
rnacentral:rRNA from 1 species